UUUAGGGCUUCUGCGUUUUAAUUUCUGAUUUCUCCUUCUUCUUCACUGCUUGAGAGCUUUUCCUCUGUCUCUCACGGCGCCCAAAUCCCAACCUGUCGUCACGAUCUCUCUCUGUCUCAUCACCCAUCGUCACGAUCUCUCUCUCUCGCUGUCUCUGUGUCGUGACCCUUCCCCAUCCGAGCCCAGUCGCGACCCUUCCCAGUCCGAGCCCUAACCUGUGUUGUGCCGUGUGCGACUGUGUCCUCGACUCUCGAUCCCUGUUUGGUCUCUGCAGCGAGCUCUGUACAAGGUACACACAAAUAAGCUGUUUUAAAUAAUAAGUUAUUUACCAAUAAGCUGUUUAAAUUUUAAGUUGUUUACCAAUAAACAGUUUAAACCAAACUAAAUAUAAAUUUUGACAUGUUAAUUGUAACAUGUAAAGAUUACAUCAGUUAUAUAUCGGAUUAUCAUUCAAUAUUCAGUCAUUGAAUUCUGUAUCUAAUUUCUUUGGUCUCAACCCUCAAGAAGUAGUCUAAUUUAAUCUUUUUGCAUCAGGGCAUCCUAGUGCUUUUAUAACAAUAUGCAAACCAAUAUAUACUGAUAAGUAGCUAAGCUUUUCAAUUGGUUUUGCAUAGUAUAUGAUUCAUCUAUAGGCAGAAGAAUGUUUUAUUUGCAGAUCACUAUAGCUUCCAUGGAGGGUAGUAUUAAUGAAAAGCUACUGGGAGAAGUUCAAACAGCAGUAGUGUGUUGCUGAGGAAGAGAGGCUCAACUUGGAUGCUGCUCUUCCUUUACAAAAUCUUUAGUUCUUACUUAAUGUUAUUUGUUAGAUGUUGUGUAUUGAGGAUGGUAUAUUUGUUAGAUGUUAGAUGUUGUUCAACGACUUCUUUGUUGCCACCAACAACUUCUUGGCCUAAUUAUGGAUUUUUUUUUUAUUAAAUUUAUCUUGCAUAUUUUUAUUCAUGGUUCAAUUGUUAUAAUUAAUAGAAGGGUAAAUUUAUAAAAGAGAUUUUUUUUCUUUUCAUUGAAAUUUAAAAACGCAAGAAA
rnacentral:lncRNA from 1 species